CAAUAACAAUAAUAAUAAUAAUAAUAAUAAAAGCACUGCUGGAGCUAAACAGGAAGAACGAAUACGGUCGCUUUCAAACAGGAAGUGACCCGAUGGGCGGGGCUACAUGAGGUGAAUAUCUGAGAAUAUGGAUCAAUAAUCCCAGUAUCAUCUUUCAGCUGUGAACCGUUCUGAGGAAACACAUGGAUGAAGAGUCGCUAGCUGAACACACCUGAAGUCCUGAAGUGCGCGCUAAUGCUAACGCUAACGAAAUGUGAACCCGUUCAGCUCCAGCUCAAAGGCUCAUGGGAGUUGUAGUCAUCGGAGGGUGUGGGACUCUCUGUAUGAACCAGACCAUGAUAGAAGUCCUGAAUAGGAAGCAGACCUGCUCCCUGUGGGAGGCCAGGUGAGGAAGAGGAUGGUACGAUGAAGCACAGCUUUCUAUUCACACAGUUAUCUCACCGUCUCAACGACACAACGUCUCCCUGUGAGGACAGGUAGAGGACGCUAACGAGCUAAACGUCUCCCUGUGAGGACAGGUAGAGGACGCUAACGAGCUAAACGUCUCCCUGUGAGGACAGGUAGAGGACGCUAACGAGCUAAACGUCUCCCUGUGAGGACAGGUAGAGGACGCUAACGAGCUAAACGUCUCACUGUGAGGACAGGUAGAGGACAGAUAACGAGCUAAACGUCUCCCUGUGAGGACAGGUAGAGGACAGAUAACGAGCUAAACGUCUCACUGUGAGGACAGGUAGAGGACAGAUAACGAGCUAAACGUCUCCCUGUGAGGACAGGUAGAGGACGCUAACGAGCUAAACGUCUCCCUGUGAGGACAGGUAGAGGACGCUAACGAGCUAAACGUCUCACUGUGAGGACAGGUAGAGGACAGAUAACGAGCUAAACGUCUCCCUGUGAGGACAGGUAGAGGACAGAUAACGAGCUAAACGUCUCACUGUGAGGACAGGUAGAGGACAGAUAACGAGCUAAACGUCUCACUGUGAGGACAGGUAGAGGACGCUAACGAGCUAAACGUCUCCCUGUGAGGACAGGUAGAGGACGCUAACGAGCUAAACGUCUCCCUGUGAGGACAGGUAGAGGACAGAUAACGAGCUAAACGUCUCACUGUGAGGACAGGUAGAGGACGCUAACGAGCUAAACGUCUCCCUGUGAGGACAGGUAGAGGACGCUAACGAGCUAAACGUCUCACUGUGAGGACAGGUAGAGGACAGAUAACGAGCUAAACGUCUCACUGUGAGGACAGGUAGAGGACGCUAACGAGCUAAACGUCUCACUGUGAGGACAGGUAGAGGACAGAUAACGAGCUAAACGUCUCCCUGUGAGGACAGGUAGAGGACGCUAACGAGCUAAACGUCUCCCUGUGAGGACAGGUAGAGGACAGAUAACGAGCUAAACGUCUCACUGUGAGGACAGGUAGAGGACGCUAACGAGCUAAACGUCUCACUGUGAGGACAGGUAGAGGACAGAUAACGAGCUAAACGUCUCCCUGUGAGGACAGGUAGAGGACGCUAACGAGCUAAACGUCUCACUGUGAGGACAGGUAGAGGACGCUAACGAGCUAAACGUCUCACUGUGAGGACAGGUAGAGGACGCUAACGAGCUAAACGUCUCACUGUGAGGACAGGUAGAGGACAGAUAACGAGCUAAACGUCUCACUGUGAGGACAGGUAGAGGACAGAUAACGAGCUAAACGUCUCACUGUGAGGACAGGUAGAGGACGCUAACGAGCUAAACGUCUCACUGUGAGGACAGGUAGAGGACAGAUAACGAGCUAAACGUCUCCCUGUGAGGACAGGUAGAGGACGCUAACGAGCUAAACGUCUCACUGUGAGGACAGGUAGAGGACGCUAACGAGCUAAACGUCUCCCUGUGAGGACAGGUAGAGGACAGAUAACGAGCUAAACGUCUCACUGUGAGGACAGGUAGAGGACAGAUAACGGCGUUAGUUCUGUACACAAUGAAAAAGUCUUCACUAGUUAGCUUGGUAGCUAACGCUAGUUUCAUUAUGCAUUUUAUUUAUGAGCAGUAUUUUGAGUAACGUUUCGCGUCCUCCAUGUUCGUCUCUGAUUCUUCUUCUACGCUGUGAAGCAGCGUAAAGUUGCGUAACGGUUAGGACACCGAGGAGUGAUGACAUUUACUUCGCCACAAGGAUUUAUGGGUAAUGUAGUCUUAGACGUUCAGACAGUUUUGUGUCGUUGAGCUCUGAGCUGCUAAAUCAACCCAGGUGCCUUUAAUGCUCCCGUGAGUGAACUGUGUGAAUAUCUAUCUAUAUAUAUAAACAGUAUAUGUAUAGAUGAGGCUGAGGGACGCAGCAUGGUGACGGUGAUGAUGAUAACAUCUGUUAGUUCCCCUCUCUGCAUCUGAUGUGUUGAUCUGACAGAUGUUGGAUGUUUGUUUCUUUGAGCACUUUUUUCUCGUCUCGUUUUUAUUAUUUUGACUUCGACGGCGGUUUGUAGCUCAGAGACGUCUUCCCGCCAACGUCACCGCGGCCUUACGCCGUUCGCCUUAAAGCACCACGGUGACACCUUUAAUGACGCGGACACGUGAAGGAGACACUUUUUUACUGUUGAGUCACGAGGACGUCGCGUUGGACAAACUUUAUAUGGAUUUUAUAUUUUAGAGAUAUUAAAGGAACUCUUCUGAUCUGGCUCAAAGUGAAACACGUUUUCUGAAAACAAUAAUAAAUAUUGGUGACCUUUGACCCCUCCUGUUUGUGUUCACGCUGACGUCGAAGUCGUAUCUUGAUUUGAUUUGUUUGCCACAUUCCAGCUGUGUGUUUGAGCUUUACAUCAUUUAUUUAAGGGUGUCCAACCAGAGGAACUCGUUCACAGGUGUGUGUGUGUGUUUCAGUGUGUAGACCUGUUGUGUGUUUUGCUGCUUGUUUGUUUCAUUUUAAGAAUGUUUUUAUUUUUAGACUUUAUUUAAUGCACAGAUUCAUAAUAAUUCUGAUAUUAUCAUUUGGAGAUCUUCACUUAAAGUGUCACCGUUGUUCAUCUGAACCGGCCGUGGACUCGCUCCAGACCGGUGCUUUCUAUUAGAUGGAUGUAGAUUAUACUUCUCUCAUUUUUAUAAAUAUAUAUCGAGUUUGAUGAACUGCAGAUGAAAUGUAUGAGAACACUACGACUGUAGUUCCUCACAGAUACCAAAUAAACCAUCACAAAACCA